AGCGAACGCUGGCGGCAGGCCUAACACAUGCAAGUCGAACGAACUCUUCGGAGUUAGUGGCGGACGGGUGAGUAACACGUGGGAACGUGCCUUUUGGUUCGGAAUAACUCAGGGAAACUUGUGCUAAUACCGAAUGUGCCCUUCGGGGGAAAGAUUUAUCGCCAUUAGAGCGGCCCGCGUCUGAUUAGCUAGUUGGUGAGGUAACGGCUCACCAAGGCGACGAUCAGUAGCUGGUCUGAGAGGAUGACCAGCCACACUGGGACUGAGACACGGCCCAGACUCCUACGGGAGGCAGCAGUGGGGAAUCGUGCGAAAUGGGCGAAAGCAUGACGCAGCCAUGCCGCGUGAAUGAUGAAGGUCUUAGGAUUGUAAAAUUCUUUCAACGGGGACGAUCAUGACGGUACCCGGAGAAGAAGCCCCGGCUAACUUCGUG
rnacentral:rRNA from 1 species